rnacentral:rRNA from 1 species
AAUUACCCACUCCCAGCACGGGGAGGUAGUGACGAAAAAUAACGAUACGGGACUCAUCCGAGGCCCCGUAAUCGGAAUGAGUACACUUUAAAACUUUUCCCGAGGAUCAAUUGGAGGGUAAGUCUGGUGCCAGCAGCCGCGGUAAUUCCAGCUCCAAUAGCGUAUAUUAAAGUUGUUGCGGUUAAAAAGCUCGUAGUCGAAUCUGUGUCCCGCGCCGCUGGUUCAUCGCUCGCGGUGUUCAACUGGCGUGUCUCGCGGGACGUCCUGCCGGUGGGCGCUCGUCCGUUUCGGCGGUCGUGGCCCAACUCGCUUCCGUCUCGCGCGGUUGUGAAUCCCAUCGCGGUGCUCUUUAUUGAGUGUCGAGGUGGGCCGGCACGUUUACUUUGAACAAAUUAGAGUGCUUAAAGCAGGCCAAUUUUGCCUGAAUAUUGUGUGCAUGGAAUAAUGGAAUAGGACCUCGGUUCUAUUUUGUUGGUUUUCGGAACCCCGAGGUAAUGAUUAAUAGGAACGGAUGGGGGCAUUCGUAUUGCGACGUUAGAGGUGAAAUUCUUGGAUCGUCGCAAGACGGACAGAAGCGAAAGCAUUUGCCAAAAACGCUUUCAUUGAUCAAGAACGAAAGUUAGAGGUUCGAAGGCGAUCAGAUACCGCCCUAGUUCUAACCAUAAACGAUGCCAGCUAGCGAUCCGCCGACGUUCCUCCGAUGACUCGGCGGGCAGCUUCCGGGAAACCAAAGCUUUUGGGUUCCGGGGGAAGUAUGGUUGCAAAGCUGAAACUUAAAGGAAUUGACGGAAGGGCACCACCAGGAGUGGAGCCUGCGGCUUAAUUUGACUCAACACGGGACACCUCACCAGGCCCGGACACCGGAAGGAUUGACAGAUUGAGAGCUCUUUCUUGAUUCGGUGGGUGGUGGUGCAUGGCCGUUCUUAG